rnacentral:rRNA from 1 species
CCCUUAGAUGCUCUGGGCCGCACGCGCGCUACACUGGUCGAUGCAACGAGUUUCUUUCCUUGGCCGACAGGCCUGGGCAAUCUUUGAACAUCGAUCGUGAUCGGGAUAGAUUCUUGUAAUUUUUGAUCUUAAACGAGGAAUUCCUAGUAAACGCAAGUCAUCAGCUUGCAUUGAUUACGUCCCUGCCCUUUGUACACACCGCCCGUCGCACCUACCGAUUGAAUGGUCCGGUGAAAUCUCCGGACUGGCGUGAGUCGGAGCGAUCUGACAAACACCGGAAAGUUGAUUAAACCUUACCAUUUAGAGGAAGGUGAAGUCGUAACA